rnacentral:rRNA from 1 species
AAUGCCGGGAACUCUAAUGAGACUGCCUGCGCAAGCAGUGAGGAAGGUGGGGAUGACGUCAAGUCAUCACGGCCCUUACGUCCUGGGCUACACACGUGCUACAAUGGCCGAUACAGAGGGCAGCUACUUGGCAACAAGAUGCUAAUCCUUAAAGUCGGUCUCAGUUCGGAUUGAGGUCUGCAACUCGACCUCAUGAAGCUGGAUUCGCUAGUAAUCGGAUAUCAGCAAUGAUCCGGUGAAUACGUUCCCGGGCCUUGUACACACCGCCCGUCAAGCCAUGGAAGUUGGGGGUACCUGAAGUCGAUCAGGGCAAGGAGUCGCCUAGGGUAAAACCAAUGACUGGGGCUAAGUCGUAACAAGGUGAUACCGCGGCCAUGGCGGCCGUGAUGGAAGACGUCGGGCCCAAUCGCCCCUAUAGGAGUCGUGCUCG